rnacentral:rRNA from 1 species
ACGGGAGGCAGCAGUGGGGAAUAUUGGGCAAUGGGCGAAAGCCUGACCCAGCGACGCCGCGUGAAGGAAGAAGAUCCUCGGAUUGUAAACUUCAGUCAACAGGGAAGAAACAAAUGACGGUACCUGUGGAGGAAGCCACGGCUAACUACGUGCCAGCAGCCGCGGUAAUACGUAGGUGGCGAGCGUUAUCCGGAAUUACUGGGUGUAAAGGGUGAGUAGGCGGGAAGGCAAGUCAGAUGUGAAAUGCAGGAGCUCAACUCCUGAGCUGCAUUUGAAACUGUUUCUCUUGAGAGUCGGAGGGGUAAUCGGAAUUCCCAGUGUAGCGGUGAAAUGCGCAGAGAUUGGGAGGAACACCAGUGGCGAAGGCGGAUUACUGGACGACAACUGACGCUGAGACACGAAAGCGUGGGGAGCAAACAGGAUUAGAUACCCUGGUA